UUCGCAAUGCCCGAAAGGGUGACGAAGCGACGCCGCGUGGGUGAGGAAGGCCUUCGGGUUGUAAAGCCCUGUCAGGAGUUAAGAAAUGUAAGUGCGCUAAUAUCGCAUUUAUUUGACGAAGGCUCCAAAGGAAGUCACGGCUAACUCUGUGCCAGCAGCCGCGGUAAUACAGAGGUGGCAAGCGUUGUUCGGAAUUAUUGGGCGUAAAGAGCACGUAGGUGGGUUUGUAAGUCAGAUGUGAAAGCCUUCUGUUCAACGGAAGAAUUGCAUCUGAAACUGCGAAUCUUGAGUAUAGGAGGGGAGAAUGGAACUUCUGGUGGAGCGGUGAAAUGCGUAGAUAUCAGAAGGAACGCCGGCGGCGAAAGCGAUUCUCUGGCCUAUUACUGACACUCAGUGUGCGAAAGCUAGGGGAGCAAACGGGAUUAGAUACCCCGGUAGUCCUAGCCGUAAACGAUGGGCACUAAGUAGAGGGGUUUU
rnacentral:rRNA from 1 species